UACGGGGGGGAGCAAGCGUUGUUCGGAUUUACUGGGCGUAAAGGGCGCGUAGGCGGCCACCGCAAGUCAGUUGUGAAAUCUCUGGGCUUAACCCAGAACGGUCAGCUGAUACUGCGGGGCUAGAGUGCAGAAGGGGCAACUGGAAUUCCACGUGUAGCAGUGAAAUGCGUAGAGAUGUGGAGGAACACCGAUGGCGAAGGCAGCCCCCCUGGGCCAAUACUGACGCUCAUGCACGAAAGCGUGGGGAGCAAACAGG
rnacentral:rRNA from 1 species